GUAGGUGAACCUGCGGAAGGAUCAUUCAUAAUAAGUGUUUUACUGCACUUUUUAAAAAUAGUUCUCACCUUGUGUGCAAUGUUGUGUUUCUUUUCGGAGAAACACCUACACCAACCUAUAACCUUGAACCACUUUGUCUGAAAAACUAUUAUGAAUACUUAAUUCAAAAUACAACUUUCAACAACGGAUCUCUUGGCUCUC
rnacentral:misc_RNA from 1 species